rnacentral:rRNA from 1 species
AUUGAACGCUGGCGGCAGGCCUAACACAUGCAAGUCGAGCGAGCGGCGGACGGGUGAGUAAUGUAUGGGGAUCUGCCCGAUAGAGGGGGAUAACUACUGGAAACGGUGGCUAAUACCGCAUACUAUCGGAUGAACCCAGAUGGGAUUAGCUAGUAGGUGGGGUAAAGGCUCACCUAGGCGACGAUCCCUAGCUGGUCUGAGAGGAUGACCAGCCACACUGGGACUGAGACACGGCCCAGACUCCUACGGGAGGCAGCAGUGGGGAAUAUUGCACAAUGGGCGCAAGCCUGAUGCAGCCAUGCCGCGUGUAUGAAGAAGGCCUUCGGGUUGUAAAGUUCUUUCGGUAGGGAGGCGUUACCCACAGAAGAAGCACCGGCUAACUCCGUGCCAGCAGCCGCGGUAAUUC